CCGGCGAUGCCAAAAUCCAGCCUGCGCGUGAAAUUUGAGGAUUUAGGAGCGAAGGGCAGGCGAUGACCUCGCGGCUCGACGGGAGCCGCUUUGCCCGCGAUCCCGUCGCCGCUCCCGUCGACACCCGGCGGCGCAGGACGCAGCAACGCGCUCCCUGAGCCGGCUUAUUUUCGGCACGUUUUUGACGACGGGGACCGAACGCCGGUAGCCCGAAUCUGUGGUUUGGCUGGAGCGUAGAUCCCCGGAUCGGAGGGAGGAAGGAGGAGGUUGCAGCCUGGUGCACAGGCCGUCGGAGUCGCGGGGCUCUGGCCAUGGGCGCUCCGAGGUGUCCGUCAAGGUUGUCCACGGUGCCACCGCCUUGCCGGGCCAUAUGGAAGGUAGACUCCUUGCGUGCUGUCCCUCGGAAAUGACGCAGCCCACCGGUCCAUGGGACACAUCUCGGGCGAGGACAAAUCUCCCUCCCGAGAUCUCCUGA
rnacentral:lncRNA from 1 species